AGCUUUGUGCAGUGGCAGUAUCGUAGCCAAUGAGGUUUAUCCAAGGCACGAUUAUUGCAAAUUUAGAGGUCAGUUACGGAUUCAAGUCUACUAACUGGGACUUCCAGUUCAUUGGCUAGUUGUUUCUCCACUCUAGAAAGUG
rnacentral:snRNA from 1 species